rnacentral:lncRNA from 1 species
UAGGCUUUGUAACUUGCUUCUAAUAAGUAAACUACAGCAGAAAUGACACUUUAUGACUUUUAAGGAUAGGUCAUAAAAGACAAUACAGCUACCACAUAGUUAUCUUUCUCUUGUGAGGCUCCCCCUUGGAUCCUGGCCACCAAGCUGUGAAGAAGCCAUGUGGUACAAAGAAAGAUGUGAGUUUUUUGGUGGCAACUCUGGCUGAUAAAUAGCUUUCAGAAAUGGUCCAGGAUGAAGAUUCACUAGCUUCCUAGGCCAUAAUCUUCUCAGAUGGAUGGAAGGAGACCAAGAAGUCAAGCUGAAAUACAUAGCAUAUGUACUGGAUUCCUUUAAGAAUCAAGCCAAUAAGAAGCUUAUUUGGGAAAAUAUCACCCAUUGCCUUAAAAAAUAG